rnacentral:rRNA from 1 species
AGAGUUUGAUCCUGGCUCAGGACGAACGCUGGCGGCGUGCCUAACACAUGCAAGUCGAGCGGGGAUUAUCGGAUGAAGUUUUCGGAUGGAUUCUGGUAAUUCUAGCGGCGGACGGGUGAGUAACGCGUGAGCAACCUGCCUUUCACAGGGGGAUAACGCAUCGAAAGGUGCACUAAUACCGCAUGAGACCACGCUCCCGACAUGAGAGAGGGGUCAAAGGAGCAAUCCGGUGAGAGAUGGGCUCGCGUCUGAUUAGCUGGUUGGUGAGGUAACGGCCCACCAAGGCGACGAUCAGUAGCCGACCUGAGAGGGUGAUCGGCCACAUUGGAACUGAGAGACGGUCCAAACUCCUACGGGAGGCAGCAGUGGGGAAUAUUGGGCAAUGGGGGAAACCCUGACCCAGCAACGCCGCGUGAAGGAAGAAGGUUUUCGGAUCGUAAACUUCUAUCCUUGGUGAAAAUAGUGAUGGUAGCCAAGAAGGAAGCCCCGGCUAACUACGUGCCAGCAGCCGCGGUAAUACGUAGGGGGCAAGCGUUGUCCGGAAUGAUUGGGCGUAAAGGGCGCGUAGGCGGCCUGGUAAGUUUGAAGUGAAAGUCCUUCUUUUAAGGAGGGAACUGCUUUGAAAACUGUCGGGCUUGAGUGCAGGAGAGGUAAGCGGAAUUCCCGGUGUAGCGGUGAAAUGCGUAGAGAUCGGGAGGAACACCAGUGGCGAAGGCGGCUUACUGGACUGUUACUGACGCUGAGGCGCGAAAGUGUGGGGAGCAAACAGGAUUAGAUACCCUGGUAGUCCACACUGUAAACGAUGAUUGCUAGGUGUGGGGGGUCUGACCCCUUCCGUGCCGGAGUUAACACAAUAAGUAAUCCACCUGGGGAGUACGGCCGCAAGGUUGAAACUCAAAGGAAUUGACGGGGGCCCGCACAAGCA